GAGAGUUUGAUCCUGGCUCAGAACGAACGCUGGCGGCGCGUUUUAAGCAUGCAAGUCGAACGGUAGCAGAGUGCUUGCACUCUGCGAGAGUGGCGAACGGGUGAGUAACACGUAGGUAAUCUGCCUCGGGUACGGGGAUAGCCCAUGGAAACAUGGGGUAAUACCGGAUAAUAUGUACUUCUUGAUGAAGUAGAGGAAAGGCGCUAAGGUGCCGACCUGAGAUGAGCCUGCGGCUUAUUAGUUAGUUGGUGGGGUAAAGGCCUACCAAGGCGAUGAUAAGUAGCCGGCCUGAGAGGGUGACCGGCCACACUGGGACUGAGACACGGCCCAGACUCCUACGGGAGGCAGCAGCUAAGAAUCUUCCGCAAUGGGCGAAAGCCUGACGGAGCGACGCCGCGUGAAUGAAGAAGGCCGUGAGGUUGUAAAGUUCUUUUCUUGUGGGGGAAUAAUGUAAGGAGUGACUGCCUUACAGAUGACGUGAAACAAGGAAUAAGCCCCGGCUAAUUACGUGCCAGCAGCCGCGGUAACACGUAAGGGGCGAGCGUUGUUCGGAAUUAUUGGGCGUAAAGGGCGCGUAGGCGGUUUGUCAAGUCUGGUGUGAAAGACCACAGCUUAACUGUGGGAACGCAUUGGAAACUGACAGACUAGAGUAUAGGAGGGGAAGCUGGAAUUCCUGGUGUAGGGGUGAAAUCUGUAGAUAUCAGGAAGAACACCGGUGGCGAAGGCGAGCUUCUGGCCAUAUACUGACGCUGAGGCGCGAAAGCGUGGGGAGCGAACAGGAUUAGAUACCCUGGUAGUCCACGCUGUAAACGAUGUGCACUAGGUGUCGGUCCGACUGAGUUCUUGAGGGAAACUUCGAGGAUUUUGUCGGAUCGGUGCCGAGCAAACGCAUUAAGUGCACCGCCUGGGGAGUAUGCCCGCAAGGGUGAAACUCAAAGGAAUUGACGGGGGCCCGCACAAGCGGUGGAGCAUGUGGUUUAAUUCGAUGAUACGCGAGAAACCUUACCAGGGCUUGACAUAUACAGGAAUAUCAUAGAGAUAUGGUAGCUGCUUGCAGUCUGUAUACAGGUGCUGCAUGGUUGUCGUCAGCUCGUGCUGUGAAGUGUUGGGUUAAGUCCCGCAACGAGCGCAACCCCUGCUGUCUGUUACCAUCAUUAAGUUGAGGACUCAGACGGUACUGCCGGUGACAAACCGGAGGAAGGUGGGGACGACGUCAAAUCAUCAUGGCCCUUAUGUCCUGGGCUACACACGUGCUACAAUGGUCGGUACAGGGUGAAGCGAAGCGGCGACGUGGAGCAAAUCGCAGAAAGCCGGCCUCAGUUCGGAUUGAAGUCUGAAACUCGACUUCAUGAAGGUGGAAUCGCUAGUAAUCGCGCAUCAGCAUGGCGCGGUGAAUACGUUCCCGGGCCUUGUACACACCGCCCGUCACACCACCCGAGUUGGGGGUACCCGAAGUCGCUAGUCUAACCAGCAAUGGGGGACGGUGCCGAAGGUAUGCCUGGUAAGGGGGGUGAAGUCGUAACAAGGUAGCCGA
rnacentral:rRNA from 1 species